rnacentral:rRNA from 1 species
GACGAACGCUGGCGGCGUGCUUAACACAUGCAAGUCGAGCGGUAAGGCCCUUUCGGGGGUACGACGAGCGGCGAACGGGUGAGUAACACGUGGGUGACCUCGCCCUCCAGCUCUGGGAGUAAGCCUGGGAAACCGGGGUACCGUAAUACCGGAUAUGACUCCAUGACGCAUGUUGUGGGGUGGAAAGCCUUGUGCGGCUGAGGAUGGGCCCGCGGCCUAUCAGCUUGUUGGUGGGGUGGAUGGCCUACCAAGGCGACGACGGGUAG